rnacentral:rRNA from 1 species
UAGGGAAUCUUGCGCAAUGGGCGAAAGCCUGACGCAGCCAUGCCGCGUGAAUGAUGAAGGUCUUAGGAUUGUAAAAUUCUUUCACCGGGGAAGAUAAUGACGGUACCCGGAGAAGAAGCCCCGGCUAACUUCGUGCCAGCAGCCGCGGUAAUACGAAGGGGGCUAGCGUUGCUCGGAAUUACUGGGCGUAAAGGGCGCGUAGGCGGACAUUUAAGUCAGAGGUGAAAGCCCAGGGCUCAACCUUGGAAUUGCCUUUGAUACUGGAUGUCUUGAGUUCGGGAGAGGUGAGUGGAAUGCCGAGUGUAGAGGUGAAAUUCGUAGAUAUCUGGAGGAACACCGGUGGCGAAGGCGGCAUUCUGGACCAACACUGACGCUGAGGAGCGAAAGCCAGGGGAGCAAA